rnacentral:misc_RNA from 1 species
GAAAGAAAUCUUACAAAGUAUCAAUGCCCUCAUCUGAAAUAGGGAAGUAAUAUAAAUUAUUGUAAGCUCACAAGAAUAUGUCAAAGACUAUAAUGAAGCAAGGCUUGCAUUUCUGGUAGCAUCCGUUUCACAUUCUGGUCUCUUUCAUUCGCAUUACUAGCUGAAUUCUGUUUCAGAGUUCGCCACGGCCAACAUAUAUGCCUCACUCUACGACGGCUACGCUCCCUGCUCUCUGCUUCUUCUAGUUGUCUCCUUAGCUCCUCAAUCCGCUCAUGAAGUCCUGCAGCCCUACUGUCAGCCAGCUGCAGUGAUUUCUCUGCUGCUGCUUGGGCAGCCAUUGCAGCACUUGCAAGUUCUUCUUUCAGUUUUAACUUGCCAUUUGAUAUCUCUAAAGCAGUCUUCGUUCUCUCCAGUUCUUGCUUCAGUAUCACAGUCACUUUUUCACGUUCUUCAAGCUCUUUUUUCCCAGCUUCAACUUCCAACUCACAGGCUUCCCUCCAUCUAUCAACUUCUGCCUCAGUUUCUUUUAUUCCCAUUAGGAGUUCCUCUAACUUUUAAUGAUAAAAUAGAAGAACGAAGUCAGUAAUGAAAGCAGCCUGAUUCAGGAAUGCACAAGGAGUGGAUUCCAUUUUUAAAUUAAGCAGAAGAUUACAUUUUGAGCUAACACCCUCUCCCUUUCUUCCAACUCUUUCAUGUAUAGUGUGUUUUCUGCAAUUUGUUGAGCUUGUUUUUCUGUAAGACUCUGUAGUCUUUCAGCAUCUGACCUGGCACCAGAACAACAAUUAAUAAUUACAAUGAAGUAUGCAAAACAAGACAAGUUUAUUCACAGGGGCCUAAAAUGUGAAGAAAUAGUCUCGUGAUUCUUUUUGCCACCUAACUUCAAGACAAAAUACCUAGACUCUUCCAGCGAUCUCCUCAGUUGAGUGAUUUCAAGUCGUAAAUUCUUCAUUAUUCUCUCUACAGUUGAGGCCAGACUAACAACCUCUUCUUCACACUCGCUACUAUCUGAUUUAGUACUGGCAGUAGUACUAGCGGGAGUGGCAGUAGUGUUAGCUCCUGAACUCUCCACCGAUUGCUCAGUACUCCCACUUCCCAUCAUGAAGCCAAACCCUACUCUCUGCAACCCCCUCUCUGCAAUUUGCAACAAAGCCACCCUCCUCUGCUCAGUGUUCCCUUUCAACUUGUUCAAACUCUUCUCCACUGCCUCCUUCUCCAACAAGGCAACCCUUAACAAAGUAUUGAUAUCGCGAUUCUCCUCUGUCAAACUCACUAGACUAUUCUCCAAUUCCCUUAUCUCAAUCUUCUUCCUCUCCUUAAACUCAUUCACUUUUGAUUUUGCAUCGUUUGCUAACCUUGCAAUUGGCUUGAAUUCUUCCCAAAUUGCCCUUGAUCCACUGUCUAGUUCCAUUUCUACACUACCCUCAUCGUUAUUCAUCUUCUCAAUCACUUCCUCAUCAUCGACACACUCUAUGAUUCCGACCAAACAAUCUUUCACUGGCCUAAGAGAAUCCAAAGUCUUCAAAAAAAGCUGAUUCUUCCCUUCCACCUCCUUUAUCUUAAAUUCCAACUCUUCAAUCGCCCCCUUGACAGCUUCCACUUCCUUUCCAAGUUCUUCAUUUCUCAAAGAUUCCUGAUCGAUUGUUUUUGCAAACUCGUCUUCCCUUUCUUUAAAAGAGAUCUCAAGUUCACGAAUUUGUCCUUGAAGAGAGUCCCUUUCUCGCGUAGUUUCAUUGAUAACUGUUUUGAGAUCGACGUUGUGGUCCAGUGCCUCGUCUCUCUGCUGCUGGACAAGAAGGAGAUUUUCCUCCAUAAUGGAGUAUUUCGAUUGAAGGGUCUCAUAAGAUUGGCGGAGAGACUGGAGCUCAGCAAGAAGAUCAUCGUGAUUGUCUAUUUGGGGAUUGAUUGGGGAAUCGGUGCCGUUGAUUUGCGGUUGUUGGUGGUUCUCGGAGGUGGUGGUUUCCAUGGUCCAUAGAGUACAGGAUGAUUAGGGAUCUUCGAGAGAGAGAAGCUAAUUUAAAACCUACCAGUCAAAUGGAUUGGAGGGAAAGAAGGUCAGGUGCCCAGGUGAGCCUGUAUGAGUU